GGUUCCAUGGUGUAAUGGUGAGCACUAUGGACUCUGAAUACAGCGUUCAGAGUUCAAGUCUCACUGGGACCU
rfam:Pongo abelii chromosome 1.